rfam:Natrialba magadii ATCC 43099, complete genome.
GGGCACGUAGCUCAGUCUGGACAGAGCGUCGGACUUCUAUCCUCGUUGCGAUUGCGACGGGGGAAGACAUCCGAUGGUCGUGGGUUCGAAUCCCAUCGUGCCCG